GACAGCCAGUAGACAGACAGACAGACAAAUUUCGGACGGAAUGGGAGUGACAGUGCCCGGUCUCCCUCAGAAGUGUCUGGUAGGAUUAUGCUGAGUCAAGUGGUUCAUCUGGGAGGACUCACCUAGAGAAGCAGAGCCUGCAUCUGAUUGAGGUGCCACUGACGACGGUCUGCCCUGGAUGGAGGAGGGAGCGGUUGAAUCACAGCCUCGAGAACACAUGAGAAACCUUCCCAGCCAUCUCUCCAUCAGGCUAAUGAUCC
rnacentral:lncRNA from 1 species